UACGAGGGGGGGCAAGCGUUUGUUCGGAAUUAUUGGGCGUAAAGGGUGCGUAGGCGGUUUGGUAAGUCUGAUGUGAAAUCUAUGGGCUCAACUCAUAGUCUGCAUCGGAAACUGCCGGGCUUGAGUGUGGGAGAGGUGAGUGGAAUUCCUGGUGUAGCGGUGAAAUGCGUAGAUAUCAGGAGGAACACCGGUGGUGUAGACGGCUCACUGGACCAUAACUGACGCUGAGACACGAAAGCGUGGGUAGCAAACAGG
rnacentral:rRNA from 1 species